UUUUGGUCUGCUGCUGCUGUUGCUUCUUGUUCCUUCCCGCCCUGACACGGAGGUGAAGAUCGACCGUCAAGAUUCUAGAGGAAGUGAAGCUCAUAAGCAAAGUGGAUGUGGAGAAACGCAUAGUCACCAACUUUGCCAAGAUGUCCCAAAAAUUGUUGACAAGGCUCCUAAAAGUGCCCUCAAGGACAAGUGUUUGGUUGGGCUUGAUGCCUCAGAGACAGAGGAGGAAAGAAGAGGUCAGAUUGUCAACGCUGCAGUGCUUCUACUACCUUCCGUCUUCAAAGAGGACCCACAGCAGCUAUUUGUCAUUGACAAGG